AUUGAACGCUGGCGGCAUGCUUUACACAUGCAAGUCGAACGGCAGCGCGGGCUUCGGCCUGGCGGCGAGUGGCGAACGGGUGAGUAAUGCAUCGGAACGUGCCCAGUAGUGGGGGAUAGCCCGGCGAAAGCCGGAUUAAUACCGCAUACGACCUGAGGGUGAAGGCGGGGGACCGAAAGGCCUCGCGCUAUUGGAGGGGCCGAUGUCGGAUUAGCUAGUUGGUGGGGUAAAGGCUUACCAAGGCGACGAUCCGUAGCUGGUCUGAGAGGACGACAGGCCACACUGGGACUGAGACACGGCCCAGACUCCUACGGGAGGCAGCAGUGGGGAAUUUUGGACAAUGGGGGCAACCCUGAUCCAGCCAUGCCGCGUGCGGGAAGAAGGCCUUCGGGUUGUAAACCGCUUUUGUUCGGGAAGAAAUCCUCUGGGCUAAUACCCCGGGGGGAUGACGGUACCGGAAGAAUAAGCACCGGCUAACUACGUG
rnacentral:rRNA from 1 species